UACGUAGGGUGCAAGCGUUGUCCGGAAUUAUUGGGCGUAAAGAGCUCGUAGGCGGUUUUUCGCGUCUGCUGUGAAAACUCGGGGCUUAACCCCGGGCCUGCAGUGGGUACGGGCAGACUAGAGUGCGGUAGGGGAGACUGGAAUUCCUGGUGUAGCGGUGAAAUGCGCAGAUAUCGGGAGGAACACCUGUGGCGAAAGCGGCGCACUGGACCAUACUGACGCUGAUGCGCGAAAGCGUGGGGAGCAAACAGG
rnacentral:rRNA from 1 species